ACAAUGAAGAGUUUGAUCCUGGCUCAGGAUGAACGCUAGCUACAGGCUUAACACAUGCAAGUCGAGGGGCAGCGGGAUUGAAGCUUGCUUCAAUUGCCGGCGACCGGCGCACGGGUGAGUAACGCGUAUCCAACCUUCCGCAUACUCGGGGAUAGCCUUCUGAAAAGGAGAUUAAUACCCGAUGGUAUCAAGAGAUUGCAUGAUAACUUGAUUAAAGAA
rnacentral:rRNA from 1 species